rfam:Cladophialophora immunda strain CBS 83496 unplaced genomic scaffold supercont1.1, whole genome shotgun sequence.
GGCCGCGUGGCCUAAUGGUUAAGGCGUUGGUUUUCGGUGAUCACGUGCACCAAAGAUUGGGAGUUCGAAUCUUCCCGCGGUCG